GAGGAAAUCGUAUCCAGAAGCCCCUUAGGAGAUCUCCCCUGACAUCUCAUCGACCGGAGCUGGGUUACAUGGUUACUCCGAGACCUGAGAGAAGCCGGGAGGCACAGCUCAAACGUUGCUCCCCUGUUGAGCCUUACCCCAGGCUGCCUGCGCUGAGGACCUGACCACGUUUCUCGUGCUUUCCUCCGCUGUCAGAAUUCAGCAUGAUGCCUGUAACGAGCCGGGUGUGGUGUAAGGCACACGGAGAUGGAGACCUGAUUCUGCAUAUAUUCAUUGGAGCUUAUGGACUUUAAAGUCAUUUCUUUCUCAAGAAAGCUUGGCUUCAAAGUUAUGGCCAAAAAUCUCGUUUUGAAAUUCAAAACUGGAAAUCGAUUCUUCUCUUUGCAAUCUUAUUGAACAAGGCCAAUCUUCUCUGAGGCAAAUAGAUGCCCCCAGCAUAAUAGAGGACGUCACAAACAUAGAAAUAUGAACAAAUGAACAUAGGAGAAAAUCUUAUUAUAUUUUUAAAAAUAUAAUUCCUUAAGAGAAUGGAGAGAUAAU
rnacentral:lncRNA from 1 species